UACGAAGGGGGCUAGCGUUGUUCGGAAUUACUGGGCGUAAAGCGCGCGUAGGCGGCUUUGCAAGCCAGGGGUGAAAUGCCUGAGCUCAACUUGGGAAUUGCCUUUGGGACUGCGAGGCUUUGAGGACGGGAGAGGUGAGUGGAAUUCCCAGUGUAGAGGUGAAGUUCGUAGAUAUUGGGAAGAACACCGGUGGCGAAGGCGGCUCACUGGCCCGUUUCUGACGCUGAAGCGCGAAAGGGUGGGGAUCAAACAGG
rnacentral:rRNA from 1 species